GACGAACCAUGCAAACGUUAUUCGGAAUGACUGGGCUUAAAGCGUGCGUAGGCGGUUCCGAAAGUUGGGUGUGAAAGCCCCCGGCUCAACCGGGGAAUUGCGCCCAAAACUACGGAACUCGAGGGAGAUAGAGGUGGGCGGAACUUCGGGUGGAGCGGUGAAAUGCGUUGAUAUCCGAAGGAACACCAGAGGCGAAAGCGGCCCACUGGAUCUUUUCUGACGCUGAGGCACGAAAGCUAGGGGAGCGAACGGGAUUAGAUACCCCGGUAGUCCUAGCCGUAAACGAUGAGCACUGGAUCGGAGGGUCUCCCAUAACCUUCCGGUCGUAGCGAAAGUGUUAAGUGCUCCGCCUGGGGAUUAUGGUCGCAAGGCUGAA
rnacentral:rRNA from 1 species